CCUACGGGUGGCAGCAGUGAGGAAUAUUGGUCAAUGGGCGGAAGCCUGAACCAGCCAAGUCGCGUGAGGGAAUAAGGCCCUACGGGUCGUAAACCUCUUUUGCCGGGGAGCAAGGGCGGGGACGUGUCCCGGCCCGGACAGUACCCGGAGAAAAAGCAUCGGCUAACUCCGUGCCGGCAGCCGCGGUAAUACGGGGGAUGCGAGCGUUAUCGGGAUUUAUGGGGUUUAAAGGGUGCGUAGGCGGGCUUUUAAGUCAGCGGGAAAAAUCCGGGGCUCACCCCCGUGCGGCCGUUGAAACUGGGGGGCUUGAGUGGGCGAGAAGAAGGCGGAAUGCGUGGUGUAGCGGUGAAAUACAUAGAUAUCACGCAGAACCCCGAUUGCGAAGGCAGCCUUCCGGCGCCCUACUGACGCUGAGGCACGAAAGUGUGGGGAUCGAACAGGAUUAGAUACCCGGGUAGUC
rnacentral:rRNA from 1 species